UGAACGCUAGCGGCAGGCCUAACACAUGCAAGUCGAGGGGUAAGGUCAAGCUUGCUUGACACACGACCGGCGCACGGGUGAGUAACGCGUAUGCAACCUACCUUUAACUGGGGAAUAGCUCCGAGAAAUCGGAAUUAAUACUCCAUAAUAUUCAAUUAUCACAUGGUAAUUGAAUUAAAGCUCUGGCGGUUAAAGAUGGGCAUGCGUGACAUUAGUUUGUUGGUGAGGUAACGGCUCACCAAGACCACGAUGUCGUACGGGGUCUGAGAGGAUGACUCCCCACACUGGUACUGAGACACGGACCAGACUCCGUACGGGAGGCAGCAGUGAGGAAUUAGUUGGAACAAUGGACGCAAGUCUGAUCCACGCCAUGCCGCGUGCAGGAUGACACGCCUAGUGGGUUGUAAACUGCUUUUAUACAGGAAGAAACACUCCGACGUGUCGGAGAUUGACGGUACUGUAAGAAUAAGCAUCGGCUAACUCCGUG
rnacentral:rRNA from 1 species